rnacentral:rRNA from 1 species
AUAGCGUAUAUUAAAGUUGUUGCAGUUAAAAAGCUCGUAGUUGAAUUUUGGAUUUGGCUGUUGUUGGUCGGCCGUAUAGGUCUGUACUCUUCUGGCCAAAUCUCUCCUUCUGGAAAACUUUCAAACCAUUUAUUUGGUCUGUAAGGGCUCCAGGAUUUUUACCUUGAAAAAAUUAGAGUGUUUAAAGCAGGCAUACGCUUGAAUACAUUAGCAUGGAAUAAUAGAAUAGGACUUUGGUUCUAUUUUGUUGGUUUCUAGGACCGAAGUAAUGAUUAAUAGGGACAGUUGGGGGCAUUAGUAUUUAAUUGUCAGAGGUGAAAUUCUUGGAUUUAUGAAAGACUAACUUCUG